UCCGGUUUGGCACCGGCAGUCCCCCUAGAGUGCCCGGCAUAACCCGCUGGUAACUAGGGGCGGGGGUUGCGCUCGUUGCGGGACUUAACCCAACAUCUCACGACACGAGCUGACGACAGCCAUGCAGCACCUGUGCUAUGGUCCCGAAGGAGGGCCGCCGUUUCUGGCGGCUUUCCAUAGCAUGUCAAGCCUAGGUAAGGUUCUUCGCGUUGCGUCGAAUUAAACCACAUGCUCCACCGCUUGUGCGGGCCCCCGUCAAUUCCUUUGAGUUUCAGCCUUGCGGCCGUACUCCCCAGGCGGGGCACUUAAUGCGUUAGCGCCGGCACCCGGGGGGUCGCUCCCCCAGGCACCUAGUGCCCAUCGUUUACGGCGUGGACUAC
rnacentral:misc_RNA from 1 species